rfam:Triticum aestivum genome assembly, contig: Triticum_aestivum_CS42_TGACv1_scaffold_055619_1BS
GGAUGCGAUCAUACCAGCACUAAAGCACCGGAUCCCAUCAGAAGUCUGAAGUUAAGCGUAUUUGGGCGAGAGUAGUAGUAGGAUGGGUGACCUCCUGGGAAGUACUCGUGUUGCAUUCC